rnacentral:rRNA from 1 species
CAGCCGCCGCGGGAAUACGUAGGUGGCGAGCGUUGUCCGGAAUUAUUGGGCGUAAAGGGCUCGCAGGCGGUUUCUUAAGUCUGAUGUGAAAGCCCCCGGCUCAACCGGGGAGGGUCAUUGGAAACUGGGAAACUUGAGUGCAGAAGAGGAGAGUGGAAUUCCACGUGUAGCGGUGAAAUGCGUAGAGAUGUGGAGGAACACCAGUGGCGAAGGCGACUCUCUGGUCUGUAACUGACGCUGAGGAGCGAAAGCGUGGGGAGCGAACAGGAUUAGAUACCCCGGUAGUCCUGUCUCUUAUACA